AAAUCCAAACAAUGUAUUCUGAUUAACAUAUUGUUGAUAACUAAUUAAUUAUGCUUGAAAUAGAACACAUAAAUCUUGUAUUUAUACACACUAACUAAAGGCAAAAUUAGACAAUUCACAGAUCACAUCAUGUUAGUUUGAUGAUUCAAAUUCACUAAUUAAUUUGAUUUACUAAAUCAAACAUGUGGAUCUGCUUCUCAAUUGGAAGUGCUACUUAAAUCAUCCCCCAAAAUAACAACGACAAAGUUUCCCUAAUUAGGGCAAAACGAAAUUAAUU
rnacentral:misc_RNA from 1 species